GCCCUCUUAGCUCAGUGGUAGAGCGCGUCACUCGUAUGCGAUGAUAUGAUGAGGUCGGUUGUUCAAUCCAGCCAGGGGGCA
rnacentral:tRNA from 1 species